rnacentral:rRNA from 1 species
AUACGGAGGGGGCUAGCGUUGUUCGGAAUUACUGGGCGUAAAGCGCGUGUAGGCGGAUCGUUAAGUCAGGGGUGAAAGCCCGGGGCUCAACCCCGGAACUGCCCUUGAUACUGGCGAUCUAGCGUCCGGAAGAGGUGGGCGGAAUUCCCGGUGUAGAGGUGAAAUUCGUAGAUAUCGGGAGGAACACCAGUGGCGAAGGCGGCUCACUGGUCCGGCACUGACGCUGAGACGCGAAAGCGUGGGGAGCAAACAGGAUUAGAAACCCUAGUAGUCC